GAUGAACGCUGGCGGCGUGCUUAACACAUGCAAGUCGAACGGAAAGGCCGAAGCUUGCUUCGGUACUCGAGUGGCGAACGGGUGAGUAACACGUGGGUGAUCUGCCCUGUACUUCGGGAUAAGCUUGGGAAACUGGGUCUAAUACCGGAUAUGACGAUCUCUUGGAUGGGGUUGUGGAAAGCUUUUGCGGUAUGGGAUGAGCUCGCGGCCUAUCAGCUUGUUGGUGGGGUAAUGGCCUACCAAGGCGUCGACGGGUAGCCGGCCUGAGAGGGUGUACGGCCACAUUGGGACUGAGAAACGGCACAGACUCCUACGGGAGGCAGCAGUGGGGAAUAUUGCACAAUGGGCGCAAGCCUGAUGCAGCGACGCCGCGUGGGGGAUGACGGCCUUCGGGUUGUAAACUCCUUUCGCAAUCGACGAAGCAUUUUGGUGACGGUAGGUUGAGAAGAAGCACCGGCUAACUACGUG
rnacentral:rRNA from 1 species